UGUGACUAUUCAUGAUGGUGGAUCGUCGGU
rnacentral:piRNA from 1 species